CCUACGGGCGGCAGCAGUGGGGAAUAUUGGACAAUGGGGGGAACCCUGAUCCAGCCAUGCCGCGUGUGUGAAGAAGGCCCUCGGGUUGUAAAGCACUUUCAGUGAGGAAGAACGCCUGGUGGUUAAUACCCAUCAGGAAAGACAUCACUCACAGAAGAAGCACCGGCUAACUCCGUGCCAGCAGCCGCGGUAAUACGGAGGGUGCGAGCGUUAAUCGGAAUUACUGGGCGUAAAGCGCGCGUAGGUGGCUUGAUAAGCCGGUUGUGAAAGCCCCGGGCUCAACCUGGGAACGGCAUCCGGAACUGUCAAGCUAGAGUGCAGGAGAGGAAGGUAGAAUUCCCGGUGUAGCGGUGAAAUGCGUAGAGAUCGGGAGGAAUACCCGUGGCGAAGGCGGCCUUCUGGACUGACACUGACACUGAGGUGCGAAAGCGUGGGUAGCAAACAGGAUUAGAUACCCCAGUAGUC
rnacentral:rRNA from 1 species